AUUUAAUAAUCAGCCCUGUCACAUCUGCUUAAGACCAACCUCAUUUUCUGCUUGAUAAUUUGUGACGACCCCUAAGCUUAGCUUCUCAGCUUCUUAGCUCUCUGGACAGAAUAUAAAUGGGAACUCUUGUUCCAAAUAAUGAUAUUAGCGAGUCAAAUCACUAAUAUCAUGAAAACCAAAAGAUACUUAAAAAAAUGUUAACUGGAAACGUGCUCAGAGCGAUCUUACAGCAGGUUAUUUUAGUGGGUAUAGUUCUCUUCAGUGGGUCUACAAAGCCUUCGAUUUUAAUUCUUAGAUUGAUAUAGUAAAAAGUAUGAUUGAUAUCUGAUACGGCUAAUAAAAUAUGAAUGUGUAUGGCCAGCUGCAGUAUUAUCUGUGCAAAACCUUUACACGAUAAUUCUAAUAGAGCUUCACUCUAAGUACCCUGAUAUUUUGUUUCCCUCCACUCAUGGCAGAUUGAGAAGUUUUUUCUUCACAUUCUGGAGAAAGAGAAAACCAGAGGAGAGGGAGAACCUCUACACCUGUCCACUGAGGAGUUUGCCUUUGCUAAAGAGUACAUGACAAACACAGAAACUCUGUUAAAGAGUGUGGCCCUUCGUCACAUGCCACCGAAUCUGCAGACUGUGAAUCUUCUCAAAUGUGUGAACAUGAUAUGGAUAUGGAAGUUGGAUCUCAACAUUUUAUCUGUUAUCGGACCAUCGCACCCCUUUUGGCUUUAGGAGCUGUGAGACUCAUUUAAAGGGCAUGUAAAGGCAAAAAAAUAAAAAGCCCAUUUUUACUUUCUUUAAUGAAAAAGAAACCUAUC